rnacentral:rRNA from 1 species
ACAUAGGGUGCAAGCGUUGUCCGGAAUUAUUGGGCGUAAAGAGCUCGUAGGUGGUUAGAUACGUCGGACGUGAAAAUCAGGGGCUCAACCCCUGACCUGCGUUCGAUACGGUCUAGCUAGAGUGUGGUAGGGGAGACUGGAAUUCCUGGUGUAGCGGUGGAAUGCGCAGAUAUCAGGAGGAACACCGAUGGCGAAGGCAGGUCUCUGGGCCAUUACUGACACUGAGGAGCGAAAGCGUGGGGAGCGAACAGGAUUAGAUACCCUGGUAGUCCACGCCGUAAACGGUGGGCGCUAGUUGUGCGAACCUUCCACGGUUUGUGCGACGCAGCUAACGCAUUAAGCGCCCCGCCUGGGGAGUACGAUCGCAAGAUUA